GAAUACUCUUCUUCACUAAGUUAUGAAGAUCAUGGAUGAACAAGAUGAAUAUUCAAGCGUUGACCAAGUUUGACCACCUAGCAAAUGAGCUCCAAAUCUGAUUUUUUUUGUAGCCCUAGGUUCCUUAUGUCAAAACAACUUAAACCAACCAAAAAUCAGCCACAAAUCAAGCAUAAAUCACCAAGACAAAAACGUGUAUAGCACAAAAUGCU
rnacentral:lncRNA from 1 species